CUCCCCUGCAGACGUAAGAGCAUCGUCUCAGGCAGCGCGGCCGCCAAGGUCUCACUGUAUCAUUCCAAAGCGGGCGAAUUUCGAAACAUCCAGCUGCUGGCAGCAAUAGCAGAACCCACCAUGAGGCUCCAGGCAUUCGGAUGCCGCCAGCGAGGCCAGCAAGCCCACCUCUCCCUGAGCUGCAGUUCGGCUUUCUUCCUCCACAAGCAGGGACGUGGCUUCAGGAACCCGCUGGAGGAGACAAGGGGCCUCCGUGGUCUCAGCCCUCGCUUUGCGCAUGGGCUCUGGCCUCGGCACCUGGGCAUCUCCAUCCUCCCGAGGGCAGUCGGAGGCUGAAUGUCUUCAACAGGAGCACAGGCAGGAGAGAGAGAGCUCAGAUGUGCUCGAGGCCGGGGUCCACCCCUGUUCUCCUGUGAGAGGGAGGCUGUGAAAAUCCAGGAGACAACAUCAAAGCGUUGUUUUCCAACACACUGGCCUGCGCGCCCUACGCUUUAUGCAGAUGAGGGAUGGCGCAAGCACAGGCCUGCGCGCAGGGCUUUAGGCAGAUGAGGGAUGACGCAGGCACAGGCCUGAGCGUCGCACGCUUUGCGUAGAUGAGGGAUGGCGCCGGCGCAGGCCUGAGCGUCGCACGCUUUGCGUAGAUGAGGGAUGACGCAGGCACAGGCCUGAGCGUCGCACGCUUUGCGUAGAUGAGGGAUGGCGCCGGCGCAGGCCUGCGCGCCACGCGCUUUAGGUGGAUGAGGGAUGGCGCAGGUGCAGGCCUGCGCGCCUCACGCUUUAUGUACAUGAGGGAUGAGGCAGCACAGGAAUUGGCACAACCUGAAGUCAGCUCUGCAGCUUUCCAAGCUUCGUUCUGCGUGUCCUGUACUCAACAGUCAUCUCAUGCUGCAGGGUGGCUGCGUGUGCUCCGUACAUCACACCCAUAUUUCAGAUGAACAAGCCAAGGCUGAGGAAAAGAAAACUCCUUGCCCAGCACACAGGCAGUAAGUUGUGGGUCUGGAAGUCACACUAGUUCCAUGAGGCCCCACAAUGCGUGCUGCCUCUGAGACGCUGAGGAGAGAGAAGAGAUGCCUUGGUCACAGCUCCCACCCUCAGAUGAGAUGAGCCUGCAGGUUCCGUCGCCCUGAAACCUUCAAGUUCUGUCGCCAUGAAAUCUUGCUGGGUCUUGUCACUGCUCCACGGGACAAAAUGUGAUGAACAGAGGUGGUUCGGGUGCCGCGCUUCUGAGAGGAGUGACUUGGGUCUCCCGGCUGAGGCUGCGAUGCCACUGCCCGCUGACGGCCCACUUGCCAGGAUGUCCUGGCCUGAGGACACCCCAACGGGGAACAGAGGUCGAAUGACGUGUGGCUGCUCGGAGCCUGUUCUCCAGAGAAAGCUCCUUGUUCGAGGAAGGUUUCUGACACCAGAAAUCAUUCUGGUUUCUUGUCAGUAACUGGAGGGGAAAAUCCAAAGCCUUUGUUGCUAAGAUACAUAACAUCCUUCCAUGGAGAGAGGGAAGGAGAGAGAGGGAGAGGGAGGGAAGGAGAGAGAGAGGGAGAGGGAGGGAAGGAGAGAGGGAGGGGAGAGAGAGGGACACAGGAAGAGAUGCAGAGGGAGGGAGGGAAAGGGGGGAGAGGAGGGAGAGAAAGGGAGGAAAGGAGGGAAGGGGGGAGAGAGAAAGAGAAAGGGACAUAGGGAAGGAAAGAGAGAGGGAGAGGGAGGGUAAGAAGGGGGGAGAGGGGGAGAGAAAGACAGGAAUAGAAAAAAGAGGGAGGGAGGGAGAGAGGGACGGGGAGGGAGAGAGGGACGGGGGGAGAGGGACAGAGGGAGGGAAGGAGGGAGGGAAAGAGCAGGGAGAGAAGGGGGAAGAGAGAGGGGAGGGAGGUGGGGGAAGAGGGCAGAGAGGGAGAAAGAGAAGGGAGGGAGGAAGGGAAGGAGAGAGAGAUUUCAAAGCAGUUUUACUCUUCAUGUGGUCUGUUUUAGCCCCGUCCUCCUCUGCCUUUCUUCUUGUGUGUGUUUAAAAGCUAUUAAUCAGUUUUAGAAAGCAAAUCUCUGCCUCUGUUGUGAGCAUCUCGAUUUUUCUUUUGCAUUUUCAGGGCAUUCUCGCUGGAAAGGCUCAGUCAUGCUGGACAAACUAUUAUACCAGUGGAAGUCUGUCCAGUUUCUGAUAAAACCAAAACUAAUUUAUUUUUUGUUUAUCCUCCACUACCUUUGACAAAGCUUCCUCUGGAGAUGUGUAUCUUCAUUCC
rnacentral:lncRNA from 10 species